CCCGACUGCUAUCAGAGUGGGACUAAGCCAUGCGAGUCAACAUAGCAAUAUGUGGCAUACGGCUCAGUAACACGUAGUCAACAUGCCCAGGGGACGUGGAUAACCUCGGGAAACUGAGGAUAAACCGCGAUAGGUCAUCACUUCUGGAAUGGGUAAUGACUUAAAUCUAUAUGGCCCCUGGAUUGGACUGCGGCCGAUCAGGCUGUUGGUGAGGUAAUGGCCCACCAAACCUGUAACCGGUACGGGCUCUGAGAGGAGGAGCCCGGAGAUGGGCACUGAGACAAGGGCCCAGGCCCUAUGGGGCGCAGCAGGCGCGAAACCUCUGCAAUAGGCGAAAGCUUGACAGGGUUACUCUGAGUGAUUUCCGUUAAGGAGAUCUUUUGGCACCUCUAAAAAUGGUGCAGAAUAAGGGGUGGGCAAGUCUGGUGUCAGCCGCCGCGGUAAUACCAGCACCCCGAGUGGUCGGGACGUUUAUUGGGCCUAAAGCGUCCGUAGCCGGUUCUACAAGUCUUCCGUUAAAUCCACCUGCUUAACAGAUGGGCUGCGGAAGAUACUAUAGAGCUAGGAGGCGGGAGAGGCAAGCGGUACUCGAUGGGUAGGGGUAAAAUCCGUUGAUCCAUUGAAGACCACCAGUGGCGAAGGCGGCUUGCCAGAACGCGCUCGACGGUGAGGGAUGAAAGCUGGGGGAGCAAACCGGAUUAGAUACCCGGGUAGUCCCAGCUGUAAACGAUGCAGACUCGGUGAUGAGUUGGCUUAUUGCUAACUCAGUGCCGCAGGGAAGCCGUUAAGUUUGCCGCCUGGGGAGUACGGUCGCAAGACUGAAACUUAAAGGAAUUGGCGGGGGAGCACCACAAGGGGUGAAGCCUGCGGUUCAAUUGGAGUCAACGCCGGAAAUCUUACCGGGGGCGACAGCAGAGUGAAGGUCAAGCUGAAGACUUUACCAGACAAGCUGAGAGGAGGUGCAUGGCCGUCGCCAGCUCGUGCCGUGAGGUGUCCUGUUAAGUCAGGUAACGAGCGAGAUCCCUGCCUCUAGUUGCUACCAUUAUUCUCAGGAGUAGUGGAGCUAAUUAGAGGGACCGCCGUCGCUGAGACGGAGGAAGGUGGGGGCUACGGCAGGUCAGUAUGCCCCGAAACCCUCGGGCCACACGCGGGCUGCAAUGGUAAGGACAAUGAGUUUCGAUUCCGAAAGGAGGAGGCAAUCUCUAAACCUUACCACAGUUAUGAUUGAGGGCUGAAACUCGCCCUCAUGAAUAUGGAAUCCCUAGUAACCGCGUGUCACUAUCGCGCGGUGAAUACGUCCCUGCUCCU
rnacentral:rRNA from 1 species